CUAAAGACAGGUUGCAUUGGGCUGGAUGGCUAUCAGCAGCUCAUCUCCUGGAACAACAGCAGCCAAGAGAGCGGCACAGCAGAAGCUGCGGUGAUGUCAAGACCCCAAAGCCACACGAGUGAGAUGCAAACCCACGGCGAAACCAAGGAAGACGUAGUGAAUUCUGCAUGAGUGGUUUGAAGAGAGGGGAACCCCACCAUCUACAUGCAGAGAAGUGGGACGUGGGCAACACCUAUUGUACAGCUGCUCUCCAUCACUUGGCGUGAACAAUGGAACCAGGGCUGCCACUGGGACAACCUGGACAGUGCAAGAGAUGCCCAUUUUAAGAACAAAUGCGUUCUCCAUUCUGCAGGGCGGUGCUUGAGGUCCUCACUAAGGGGAGACCAGGUCCUGCGGCAGCUGUUGGCAAAGCUCCUGUGGACUUUGGUCUGGUCCAAAUUCCACCUCUUGAGUUUGACUACGGUCCAGCAGCGCCUAAGCCUGAUGCUGGCCUCCUGCCCUCCACUGAGUUUCCUCCUACAGCAACAGAACGGGGCCCGAGUUGUAUCUCGCCAAUAAAACAAAUAGAAUUAAAUGAUGCAAGGGUGUUUGAGUCGUGAUUUUCAUCAGCAUUUCCUUUUCACUGAGCUCAAAGUCUAGUUUGAAUGC
rnacentral:lncRNA from 1 species